UCAUCCGUGCUACCGGAUGAAUCCAAGGGUAUGGGUAAAGAGCUACCCUGACAAUGUAACAAAGAAGGCCUUCGCUUCUGGAGAGUCAAUCGUGAAAAAUAUUGUAUCGUAAUAACAACAACCUGGGUAAGUAC
rfam:Methyloprofundus sedimenti strain WF1 Contig001, whole genome shotgun sequence.